GUUUAAUUCGACGCAACGCGAAGAACCUUACCAGGCCUUGACAUACUCGGCAAAGCUCUAGAGAUAGAGUGGAGGUUAUUCCGGGAUACAGGUGGUGCAUGGUUGUCGUCAGCUCGUGUCGUGAGAUGUUGGGUUAAGUCCCGCAACGAGCGCAACCCCUAUCUUUAGUUGCCAUCAUUGAGUUGGGCACUCUAAAGAGACUGCCGGUGUCAAACCGGAGGAAGGUGGGGAUGACGUCAAGUCCUCAUGGCCUUUAUGACCAGGGCUACACACGUACUACAAUGGCCGGCACAGCGGGAAGCGAGGGGGCGACCUUGAGCGGAUCCCUCAAAGCCGGUCUCAGUUCGGAUUGCAGUCUGCAACUCGACUGCAUGAAGUUGGAAUCGCUAGUAAUCGUGGAUCAGCCAAGCCGCGGUGAAUACGUUCCCGGGCCUU
rnacentral:rRNA from 1 species